GACAGACGUGAAUAAGUACGAACAUACGGCCGAAAGCAUACCCAACCAAAAAGUGCACUCAGCAAAAGAGUUUAAAAAAUGUUUACAGAAUAAUGAUAAGUGUUAUGAUUCUGAUCACGACGAAUUAAGUAAUAAUUAUCGUAAAAAUUUAAGAGUUGCUGAUCGUCAGGAAUUUUCAGAUUAUGAAAAAAAAUUUCAAAGGGUUAAUCAAAAUAUAACACACAAUGGACAGCUAGCCAAAACAAAUAACAAUGUAACUACUUUUUCGAAAAAAAACUUCGAACAAAACAUUGACAUAAAUAAUAAUUCAAGUACUUUUGAAGAAAAACAACAAAACAUACAGAACGAAUUAACCAUCAUUGACUAUACAGACAACUGUUUUGACAAUUUACUAAAUGAAUUCAACGUUUUAAAAAAAAAAAACGAAUCUUUCAAUAAUUAUUGUAUACUGAAAAAGAAAAUUAUAAAAAACGACACAUAUAUGGACAUUAGUGAAAACGAAAGAGAAGAACAAAAUGCACAACAAAAAAACCACCACGGUCUCGUGGAGGUAGCACAAUUAGCGCAAGUAACACAACCGACACAGCCAACAGAACCAACAAAACCAACAAAACCAACAAAACCAACAGAACCAACAAAACCAACAAAACCAACAAAACCAGCAGAACCAACACAGCCAGCAGAACCAACACAGCCAGCAGAACCAACACAUCCAGCAGAACCAACAGAACCAACAGAACCAACAGAACCAACAGAACCAACAGAACCAGCACCAGUAAGUUGUCGCCUUUUCCAAAAUAUCCCGCUUACGAAUGUGGCCUACUUCUGGUAUGAUAAUAAAAGAAUGACAUACCUAUGGGACAAUCAGAUGACAAUAGAGGAAAUAAAAAGGUGCGUUUAUAACUUUUGUAUUAAUUUGGUAAAGGAAGAGUUUUAUGUAGUAAAACUAGAAAAAAUAAAAGAAUCAGAUUUAUUUAAGGAAUGUGAAAAGAAAAUCGAAAGAGUAACACUAGAAGAUGAAAAUGAUAUUUUAUUUUAUAAAUUAUGUAAAAUAUAUGAAUAUGAUGAUUUAGGUGAGAUAAAUGAUGAUAGUGAAUAUAUAAUAAAAAAAAAAAAUAUUGUUUUAGAAAAAAUAAAACAUCCGUUAAAAUAUAUGGAAGUAUUAAAAUCUAUUGAGUUUACAAAAAUUGGUGGUUAUCUACUAAAAUAUACUGCUUUACAUAUACCACAUUUAAGAUAUUUUUUUAUAAGUAAAAAUCUGAAUUUUAUCAAAUGGUUCUCAUCCAGAAAAACAGAAGAGAAUUGUAAAAUUUAUUUUAAAAAUAUUAAUAGUUUAGAAAUCGAAAAAAUAGACGAUAACAUUUUUCAAAAUUGUAAAAACAAUUUUUUAAAAAAGUUAUCCUUUUGUAUAAUUUAUAAUAAUCAUAAAAAAAAAAUAACACUAACAUGUAAAUGUUAUCAAGAGUUCGUUCACUGGGUUAUAACUAUCAGAGCUUUGAUGUAUAACUCCCGCAACAUGAAAACGUCUAAACAAAAUUUGUUAUCGCAUUUAGUGUUUGAUCAGUGGGAGGAUUU
ensembl:lncRNA